rnacentral:lncRNA from 1 species
AGUUACACAUAUUUGGAAGAACACAUUAUUUCAGAAUUUUGUGAAGCUGUACGGAUGGUCUCCAGUACAACAUUGAAAAGAAGUGGUGAGAGAGCUAACAUCCUUGCCUUGUUCCUGAGUUUAUAAAGAGUUUCUAGAUGCAAACACACACACACAAAAGUGUGCUUCCAGAAGAUGCUGCUGGGAAGGCCACUGCAUCCCUAGGGAGCCAAAGCAAAGCAUUUUGUCCUAAUGUGUCCAGAAUUGGUGGGUUCUUGGUCUCACUGACUUCAAGAAUGAAGCCGUGGACCCUCGCGGAAAGAUAGAAUAGAAGCUACAAGAUGUGCAGUGAUGCUUCCUGUUACCCAAUUUACAGAUAAUAUAUGUUUGUGGCUGUGAUACACAGAAAAAUGGCAUUCAAGGAAAGUCCACCUCCUAAUCCUCAGAAGCUGUGAAUAUGUUACUUUAUAUGGCAAAGUGGACUCUGCAGAUGAGAUUAAGUUUCUGCCUGCCUGACAAUCACUCUGCUGAUGGCAACCAAAUAUUGUCUUCUUCCUGGAGUCUCAGGGAAAAUGUGGCCUGGGGCAGACCCUAGUUCUUCAGAUGGAAGGUGAAACUUCAAUACAUCACCGCAACAGGAAACAAUCUCAAGAAUUUGUAUUUACACAUCCUGGACAAAGAAAGUGUAAAUAAGUCUGGAAUGCAGUCAUCAGUUCCCAGGUCCUGGAAGGCAGGAGUCUGGAGUCAGGCAGAAAGAGAAAGCAGGCACAGUGACAACCAGCAGUACACUUAAGGAUUAGAGUGCAGAUUUCUCUAAGCUCCCAGGCCAAUGC